UACGGCCAGGUCAUGUUGAAACACUAGUUCCCGUCCGAACUCCGAAUUUAAGCAACGUUGAGCCCUAUCGAUACUCAGAUGGGUAACCGCUAGGGAAGACCAA